rnacentral:lncRNA from 1 species
CAGGCUGUGAAACCACGACCAGGACAUGCCUAGCACAUAGUAGGUGCACAGCAAAUUGCCUGGCUGGAAGAGUGCAACCAUACGAAUGGAAGAGAGUAAAGAAUAAAAAAGCUCCUGUUCCUUUAAAUAAGCAGCAACAACCCAGUUCAAUCUCUGUUAUCAUCACCAGCAUCAUCAUCAUCUUAACUACCACGUCAUGAAUGUUACCGGGUACCAAGCAAUUUAAACACAAGCCUGGAAGCCUAGAAGGAAGACCUGCAAGAGGGUAUUGUUAUCUCCAUUCAUCAGAUGAAAAAGUUGAGACCUAGAAGGUAAAAUCACUGCCCCGCCCUCGACUGGCCCCUUCCACUGGGAGGUCUUAUUUGCUUGCUGACUUUCCCCAACAACUUUACUGAUCUUUGUGUGCCUGGCCCUGGAGUGAGCAUGGGGCAUCCAGAAAUAACAAGACAUGAUCCCUGCGUCGUCCAGUGAAGACUAUGACAGACAGAUGAUCACCACAUCACCACGUGACACUGUGCAGGGUCCAGAGGAGGCACUGCUCUGCCUGAGUGGGGAGUGGUGGGCUGGGAGCAUUUUCUGCAUCAGAUGCUCUGCUCCAUGCACAGUGCCAGGGCCUCAGAGCUCUUAAGGGCCCAGGGAAAUGUUUAAGGCCUGAA